GUGUUUCAAAGAAGGGUUAUCUUGACGUAGGUCUGCUUUUUGCCGAGAUUAACCUAAGUUAAAUGGAGUCUCUAUCGGCCUUGCUUAAAGAACCAAAUAUGAAACUUCAUACACCUUAAAGUUCAUAGGGAGAAAAGAGAAUUUUUGGACGUCCUUAUACUCAUUAUAAGCAUAGCAUUGAAUAUACUAGGUAUUCACCUUAUCAAUAUCUCAAAUCAAGGAUAGGUUCUAUUUAGUGCUUAACUGAAAUGGGCACGCGAAUCGAACCGAGAACCUUUUGUCAGGCUAUUGUUCUCUUGUUUUGUUCCCUAAAACUUAUGGAGUAAGACAUGGGUUUCUCAAUAAGAUAAAUUCUUUUGAUUACAUGAUGUGAUGGACUCCUCUGAAAAACAUUGGCGCACAUGUAAACGAGGUGCUCUACCUAAGUGAGCUAUAGCCCUUGUGUUUAUGAUACAUAUUCUAUCAUAUUGUGUAGAUAAUUUCUUGUCAAGAUGAAUAUUACAUGAUUCAACCACAUAUCUCCCAGUUUGAUUGGUAUUGCUUAGAAGUAAUAUUGGAUUUAUAAUUCAUCGAUGGGAUGAGUUCUUUUUGUUUCUCUUUGUGAUGAUAAAUGACCUACUUAACUCAGUGGUUAGAGUAUUUCUUUAUACAGUGUCAUUUUAUAGAAUCCCUGCGCUGACCACGUCCUAUAGGGAUCAUCGAAUCAAUAGCAAUAAGUCCAGUUUGAAGAGGCUCAUAUACGGAACGUCUCGAAAUAAUACCCGGAGCAGGAGAUUCAAUUAAUCGAGAUUCAAAAGUGUAAAUUUCACCUCGACCAUCAAUAGGUUUGGCCAGGGCAUUUAUAACAUGACCCAAAUAAGCCUCACUCACCGGUAUCUGAGCAAUUCUUCCCGUUGCCUUUACAGAACUUCCCUCUUGUAUCAUCAAACCGUCACCAAUUAAUACAACACCAACAUUAUUUGAUUCCAAAUUCAGAGCAAUCCCUAUUGUAUCCUCUUCAAAUUCUACUAAUUCACCUGCCAUUACUUCAUCAAGACCAUAAAUACGAGCAAUGCCGUCGCCUACUUGCAGUACGGUAUCGGUAUUUACAAUCUUUACUUCUCUAUUAUAUUGCUCAAUACGUUCACGGAUAAUAUUACUAAUUUCGUCGUCUCUAAUGGUUACCAUGAGUAUUUCUUAAUUCUUUUUUGUACGAAAAAAAAUAAUGCCUACAAUAGAGGUACCGGUAUAGUGCGACUUGUCAAAUAUAUCGGGUCAUAUGGGAUUUCCCCGUUCUCUCCCCGAUCGAGAUAUCCUCUGUUUCGCCCAAAAAAGAUUUUGAAUUAUCAAAAAAUUGGAGCGUGAAGUGAAAUCAAGUGAAAUUAUAUCCUUUUUUGUUUUGGAGGGUAUUCAAAUUUCUAUUAUCAAUUAGAAAAGUCUAUAGAAUAAUUUAUGGUUGGAUUGGUUGGACCAAUAAAAUGAAGUAUUCAAACUCCGUUUCGAAAUAACCCAAUUGGUAAUAUAUUUAUGAUUACUACUACUUAUAUUAUAGAUCAUAAAAUCUUAUAUAUAAGAGUAGUCUUAAACUUUUAAUCAAGCGAGUAAUAUGAUAAAUACGUCGAAUAUUUGGCAUUGGCAGAAGACAUGAAUUGAAUUGAAAAAAAAAGAGUAAGUCGUAGAAAAAAGACGUAGUAUUAGUGUCAUUUGUCCUAUAUGUGCAAAUAAAAAUCGGGCAGAUUUUUUUACUUGAAGUAAAGCAUAAACCUAAAAGAAUUGAAAAAAGGCCCAUUCAGGAACAAGAAAAUGACAUCGUGAUUUGGAUUAGAUCUUGAUGAAACAAUACAUCAAUGAGAAGUUUAUUUCAUAAGUUUAAUGGAUUUUUUGUGGAGGGAAAGGGGACAAAACCAAAACUCAUCUUUCUUGAAAAAUGGAAGAAAAAAAAAGCCGCUUCAUUAAGAAAUUCAAAAAUUAGAUUAGAAAAGGGCCCUACUAUGAACAAAAAAAGAAGGAAAGAGGUCUGGAAUUUACACAUUGAUUCUUUUUUUUCGCAAUUUUUGUUGAACUGUAUGCAUCAAAAGAUGCAUGUACGGCUCUUAAGGGAUAUAAAUUUUAUCCUAAUCAACCGACUUUAUCGAGAAAGAUUACCUUUUUUAGGCCAAGAGGUUGAUAGCGAGAUUUCGAAUCAACUUAUUGGUCUUAUGGUAUAUCUUAGUAUAGAGAAUGAUAACAAGGAUCUGUAUUUAUAUAUAAACUCUCCUGGCGGAUGGGUAAUCCCCAGAGUAGCUAUUUAUGAUACUAUGCAAUUUGUUCAACCUGAUGUGCAUACAAUAUGCAUGGGAUUAGCCGCUUCAAUGGGAUCUUUUAUCUUGGUCGGCGGAGAGAUUACCAAACGUCUAGCAUUCCCUCACGCUUGGCGCUAAUGAGUUUUUUAAGAACAAAAAUAAAAUAAAAAAGACUAUGCCUUCGCCAUAUGAAAUAGGAAUAUUAAGUAAUAAUAGCAUGGCACUUCGAAUUUGAUAUGAGAAUUUUUUUUUCAAAACAUUAGAUUAUAUAUCGAAAGAGUAGUAUGAAAUUUGAGAUAGAGUGUAAGUCCUUGUCCCUUAAGCAAGUUAAAAAGCAAGUUCUGGGGCAAGCAGGUCAAACCUUUUAGUCUUAGUCGAGUCAUUUCAUUUCUUUGGCUUUGGUAAGCCCCUAUUUCUUUUGGGUAAGGUCCAGUAACAAAGAAAGUCUCUUUUUUUUUAUUUUUUAUUGUAUUGGCCUUGUAAUCUGGCUUUCAAAGUAACUUGCUGUAAAAUAAAAAGAAAGGUUUGAAAACUCACUCGUUUACCCUAUUUUGCUUUUUCUCAUUCGAAUUUUUUUUUGUACAAAAAAGAAUUAAGAAAUACUCAUGGUAACCAUUAGAGCCGACGAAAUUAGUAAUAUUAUCCGUGAACGUAUUGAGCAAUAUAAUAGAGAAGUAAAGAUUGUAAAUACCGGUACCGUACAAAAAAGAAUUAAGAAAUACUCAUGGUAACCAUUAGAUUGUAAAUCCCUACUAAUACAAGUUCUUCCCUUCUGAAUUAGAUAGAUUCAUAUCUGAAAGAGGUUGACAAUAAGUUCUUUCAAAAUUGACUAUUUGUCCCUCUGUUAGAGGUGUUCCAGAAAUGUCUACGAUCGAGUAAAUAGCUCUACGAACUAAUGGAUCGGAUCGAAUUGCAAAAUGGAAAGAUUUGUACAAGUUAGACCUUUCGUCACCACUUUGUGGAAAAUCAUUAGGUAUGAAUAUGUUGGAUACCUGUGACUCGAUUGGUGAAAUAGUAUCUCUCCAAAAAAGUGUAUUUUUUUUUUUACUGCCACACAAAGAAAAUAUUUUGUUGCGAAUGAACAAGAUAUUGAGGAAUUGUCCAUAUGUAAAAUCAGAAUUAUUGAUACGGGCCCUUUCCACGUAAAAGGGGAAUCUUUUGUUACAAUAGAAGCUGAUGUGGAUUAUUCAAGAUAUGAAAUUCAUUAUGUAAGGUAUGAUUAUAAAAAGAGGAAGAAGUCGAGCUACAAGAAAAAUGCCCGUUGCUACCAUAGUAGCGGCAUGUAUAAGAGCCGAAAUAGGAGUAGUAAUAAUUAAUAUUAACAUAAUCAAAGUAAGUGGAUCUAUUAAGUGACCGAACUCUAAAGAAAAAUCAUUAUGAAUGGUCCAAGACCAUACAUAUUGAUAGAUAAAACUUCUAUUUAUUUGCUGAAUAGAUAGAUAGACCGAAAGUAUCAUAACUAUACUUAACAAGAAAAUACUAGGAAAAGCCCACAUACGGCGAAGAUUUUUUGUUGCCAUUGGAAAAAGUAGAAGUCCCACUCCUAUUAACAUAGGAACUGGAAGUGGAAUGAAGGGGAUAAUCCAUGAAUAUUGAUAUGUAUAUUCCAUAAAAAAAAAACCUUUUUAUUUUUAAUUAAUUCUUUAUAAUUCACUGUCUCUUAUAUCUUUUUAUAGGUUCAAUAAAAAAUCAAGAUAUGGAAUACUUAAAUAGAAUUUUCUAUUCCUAAUUAUUAUAAAUCUUUCUUCUUUAACCAAUAUUUCAAAUAUUCAAAUCAAGAAGUUAGAUUAUAUAUCGAAAGAGUAGUAUGAAAUUAGUAUAAAAUAAAGGGUAUUCUCAAUUUUACCUUAUUUAUCGGUGACCAUUACCAUUUCAGCGUCACAAACUUUUUUGUUUUCACAACAGAAAACUUUUAACAAUAUUUACGUUAUUGUUAGGAAAGAGUACGAAAAAAAAAACUUUGGGAUUGCUGAAUCAAAGACGAGAUAAAUAUAUAAAAAGCAACGAAGCCAUCAUAGUAUUUUUAAACUGCUCUAAAAGGAAGGAUGGUAAUUGGAUAUACUGGGUAUUCACCUUAUCAAUAUCUCAAAUCAAGGAUAGGUUCUAUUUAGUGCUUAACUGAAAUGGGCACCCGAAUCGAACCAAGAACCUUUUGUUAGGCUAUUGUUCUCUUGUUUUGUUCUCUAAAACUUAUGGAGUAAGACAUGGGUUUCUCAAUAAGAUAAAUUCUUUUGAUUACAUGAUUAUUAUCAAAAUGAUUCGAACUGGUUCAAAGACCCAACAUGCCUUCUUUUUUUUUUCUUUUUGCAUUGGGCUCUUUCAUUAAUUGAUCGAAAUAUCAGUUAGUCUGCCAUCUUUUUUCUUGCCAAUAAGGAGAUGUCUCCAUGUGCUCUGAUUCAUUAUUUUGGUUUUGACUUAGGAGCACUACCAAAGUGUUUCAAAGAAGGGUUAUUUUGAUGUAGGUCUGCUUUUUGCCGAGAUUAACCUAAGUUAAAUGGAGUCUCUAUCGGCCCUGCUUAAAGAACCAAAUAUGAAACUUCAUACACCUUAAAGCUCAUAAGGAGAAAAGAGAAUUUUUGGACGUCCUUAUACUCAUUAUAAGCCUAGCAUUGAAUAUACUGGGUAUUCACCUUAUCAAUAUCUAAAAUCAAGGAUAGGUUCUAUUUAGUGCUUAAUUGAAAUGGGCACCCAAAUCGAACUGAGAACCUUUUGUCAGGCUAUUGUUCUCUUGUUUUGUUCCCUAAAACUUAUGGAGUAAGACAUGGGUUUCUCAAUAAGAUAAAUUCCUUUGAUCUGGGGAGGGGGAUCAAGAUCAAGAAGUUAUCGAAAUUUUUUCUUUAAGAAUUUAUUUGAUUCAGGGAACAAAUUCAAUUUCUUCAUCAUAUGAUUCGAUAAAAUAUUUUGAAUCUAUGUCGAAUUGGUAGAUAAUCUCAAUCAAAUGAAUUUCGUUUUAAUGGGAGUCAAUUUAUUAAUUAAUUA
rnacentral:lncRNA from 1 species